GGAGGUGAUCCUGGCUCAGAACGAACGUUAGCGGCGCGCCUAACACAUGCAAGUCGAGCGAGAAGGGGCAACCCCUGUAAAGCGGCGCACGGGUGAGUAACACGUAGGUAAUCUACCUCGAGGUGGUGGAUAACCUUCCGAAAGGAGGGCUAAUACAGCAUGGGACCACGUCUUCGAAAGAGGAUGAGGUAAAAGCGGGCCUCUAUACAUAAGCUCGCGCCACGAGAUGAGCCUGCGGCCCAUCAUGGUAGUUGGUAGGGUAACGGCCUACCAAGCCGAAGACGGGUAGCUGGUCUGAGAGGAUGAUCAGCCACACUGGAACUGAGACACGGUCCAGACUCCUACGGGAGGCAGCAGUGGGGAAUCUUGCGCAAUGGGCGAAAGCCUGACGCAGCGACGCCGCGUGAGUGAUGAAGGCCUCGG
rnacentral:rRNA from 1 species